AUUGAACGCUGGCGGAAUGCUUUACACAUGCAAGUCGAACGGCAACACGGACUUCGGUCUGGUGGCGAGUGGCGAACGGGUGAGUAAUGUAUCGGAACGUGCCCAGUCGUGGGGGAUAACGUAGUGAAAAUUACGCUAAUACCGCAUACGAUCUAUGGAUGAAAGCGGGGGAUCGCAAGACCUCGCGCGAUUGGAGCGGCCGAUAUCAGAUGAGGUAGUUGGUGGGGCAAAGGCCCACCAAGCCAACGAUCUGUAGCUGGUCUGAGAGGACGACCAGCCACACUGGAACUGAGACACGGUCCAGACUCCUACGGGAGGCAGAAGUGGGGAAUUUUGGACAAUGGGCGAAAGCCUGAUCCAGCCAUUCCGCGUGCAGGAUGAAGGCCCUCGGGUUGUAAACUGCUUUUGUACAGAACGAAAAGGUUUCUACUAAUACUAGGAGCUCAUGACGGUACUGUAAGAAUAAGCACCGGCUAACUACGUGCCAGCCGCCGCCGUAA
rnacentral:rRNA from 1 species